rnacentral:rRNA from 1 species
GACGAACCACACAAACGUUAUUCGGAAUUACUGGGCUUAAAGGGUGCGUAGGCUGUGCAGAAAGUUAGGUGUGAAAUCCCCCGGCUCAACCGGGGAAUUGCGCUUAAAACUACUGUGCUAGAGGAAGACAGAGGUGAGCGGAACGUUCGGGUUGGAGCGGUGAAAUGCGUUGAUAUCCGAAGGAACACCGGUGGCGAAAGCGGCUCACUGGGUCUUUCUGACGCUGAUGCGACGAAAGCUAGGGGAGCAAACGGG